rnacentral:rRNA from 1 species
GGAGGGGGCUAGCGUUGUUCGGAAUUACUGGGCGUAAAGCGCGCGUAGGCGGGCUGGUCAGUUGGGGGUGAAAUCCCGAGGCUCAACCUCGGAACUGCCCCCAAUACUACCAGUCUUGAGUUCGAGAGAGGUGAGUGGAAUUCCUAGUGUAGAGGUGAAAUUCGUAGAUAUUAGGAAGAACACCAGUGGCGAAGGCGGCUCACUGGCUCGAUACUGACGCUGAGGCGCGAAAGCGUGGGGAGCAAACAGGAUUAGAUACCCUGGUAGUCCACGCCGUAAACGAUGGGUGCUAGUUGUCGGGCGGCAUGCCGUUCGGUGACGCAGCUAACGCGUUAAGCACCCCGCCUGGGGGACUACGGUCGCAAGACUA